GUUCACCUGUGCCUUUGGUGUCAGUGGACCAACGCAACACAACACUCGAGUGUCAUCGUUGUCCUGCAGGCACCUUUAUGGAGGUAGCCUGUGUGCCAGGACAACUGGACACAGCUACCUGCACUCCCUGCCCAGAAGGAACCUACCGCAGAAAACCUAACCAUGCACGAUCCUGUCAUCCUCACAAGAUAUCUUGUGAUGCCCCCUAUCAGAUAAAGGAACCAGUGCAGCCAGGUGACAGAACACAUGAUGCUGUGUGCCACUGUGAGCAUGGGGCUAUAAAGAUUGGUGAAAAUAAGUGUGUGAAAAGAAAAACAUGUCCACCCGGGCAAGGCAGUACAAAAGGUAAGUGA